GACGAACGCUGGCGGCGUGCUUAACACAUGCAAGUCGAACGGAAAGGCCCCUUUGGGGGUACUCGAGUGGCGAACGGGUGAGUAACACGUGAGUAACCUGCCCUUGACUUCGGGAUAACUUCAGGAAACUGGGGCUAAUACCGGAUAGGAAUCCUUGCUGCAUGGUGGGGGUUGGAAAGCUUCGGCGGUUUUGGAUGGACUCGCGGCUUAUAAGCUUGUUGGUGGGGUAGUGGCUUACCAAGGCUUUGACGGGUAGCCGGCCUGAGAGGGCGACCGGCCACAUUGGGACUGAGAUACGGCCCAGACUCCUACGGGAGGCAGCAGUGGGGAAUAUUGCACAAUGGGCGGAAGCCUGAUGCAGCAACGCCGCGUGCGGGAUGACGGCCUUCGGGUUGUAAACCGCUUUCAGCAGGGGCGAAGCUUGUGGUGACGGUACCUGCAGAAGAAGCACCGGCUAACUACGUG
rnacentral:rRNA from 1 species